UAGUCUGAUAUUCCAUGUUUCUAUGUCAUGAAACUUGGAGCAUAGAAUGUCAGAUCUAGA
ensembl:miRNA mdo-mir-7385g-1 mdo-mir-7385g-1